GAUGAACGCUGGCGGCGUGCCUAAUACAUGCAAGUCGAGCGAACGGACGAGAAGCUUGCUUCUCUGAUGUUAGCGGCGGACGGGUGAGUAACACGUGGAUAACCUACCUAUAAGACUGGGAUAACUUCGGGAAACCGGAGCUAAUACCGGAUGAUAUUUUGAACCGCAUGGUUCAAAAGUGAAAGACGGUCUUGCUGUCACUUAUAGAUGGAUCCGCGCUGCAUUAGCUAGUUGGUAAGGUAACGGCUUACCAAGGCACGAUGCAUAGCCGACCUGAGAGGGUGAUCGGCCACACUGGAACUGAGACACGGUCCAGACUCCUACGGGAGGCAGCAGUAGGGAAUCUUCCGCAAUGGGCGAAAGCCUGACGGAGCAACGCCGCGUGAGUGAUGAAGGUCUUCGGAUCGUAAAACUCUGUUAUUAGGGAAGAACAUAUGUGUAAGUAACUGUGCACAUCUUGACGGUACCUAAUCAGAAAGCCACGGCUAACUACGUG
rnacentral:rRNA from 1 species